UACGUAGGGGCAAGCGUUGUCCGGAAUUAUUGGGCGUAAAGAGCGUGUAGGCGGUCCGGUAAGUCAGCUGUGAAAGUCAAGGGCUCAACCCUUGAAUGCCGGUUGAUACUGUCGGGCUAGAGUCCGGAAGGGGCGAGUGGAAUUCCUGGUGUAGCGGUGAAAUGCGCAGAUAUCAGGAGGAACACCAAUGGCGAAGGCAGCUCGCUGGGACGGUACUGACGCUGAGGCGCGAAAGCGUGGGGAGCAAACAGG
rnacentral:rRNA from 1 species